CCGAUCCGUGCCGCCUGCCCGAACUGUUUUGAGCAUGCGCAUAAUUAUGCGCAUGCGCAGAAGCUCUACGUGUUUUACGACAGUUUACGACCCUACCUGAUCUGUUCUACGCAUGCGCGACAACCGGAGUUUAAAAAUAGUGAAGAAAUGCGUCAUAUAACAACACCGGCGAACAUAUGGAGGCUAAGUAAUUUGUAUAAAGGACCAACAUGGACCAGUAUUUAUUUCAUGCUGCCCUUCGGCAGUACCUACUAAGUGGGAUGUCGAUGUCGCGGUUGACUGGAAGAGAGUCAUGCAGGUGGCCAACCACUUCGUUGUAGAUGAUUUGUCCAUACUGAUGGCCAUGCAGCAUAGUUGAAGCAGACCUGUCAGAAAACAUCUCUAAGGUGCUAUGAAUCCAAUGACUAGAUACGCAUCCUUAAAUUACUAGAGGUUACGGAAGCUCCUUUUUGGAUCCAGCUUCAUUUGUGAAGACUUCAGAUGAUGCCAACACUCACAGAGACUUAAGACGAUGGCAACAAUAGAUGAAGCAACACUCACAAAGACUUUAGAUGAUGGCAACUAUAGAUGGACAUACAAAAUUGCCAAAUAUAAUAUUGUAAUUACUGCCCCAAAGCGCAAGUUUGCAGAUUUUUAACCCACUUUAUAUUGUUACAAAUACAAUAGAUGCUAACAUUUGAACAGAAAAUGUUUCCUCUUUAUUCUUGAGUUAAUUGUGCUGAUUUAUUCCCUUUUUUUUUAAUCCACAGUACUUUGCCAAAAUUAUGUUUUGCAUCAUCCAAAUGGUUCAUUUACAAAUUACAGACAUUGUAACAACACAAAGUGGGUUGAAAUUCUGCCAACUUACCCUAUAAUAAUAAUAAUUGUCUUUUAACUGAACAUGACUUUAAACACAUGACUUGUAUUAUCUUAGAGCUAUUGUGAUAUUAAUAUUGUUUUGUUUCCAGAAUAUUCUCCUCAGUGAGUCACUGUUACCUCGGACUGAUUAAGGGAUUUUUUGUAACCUUGAAACAUGCAUUGGUUUUACAAUGGUCAAACUGCAGAUCUUAUUUCAAGGUUUUGUUACCAUGGUUCUACUACAGUAACAAUAUUGAAAUGCUGGAAUGAAACUGUGGUAACCAUAU